rnacentral:rRNA from 1 species
AUUGCCCUAGUAACGGCGAGUGAAGCGGCAACAGCUCAAAUUUGAAAUCUGGCUUCGGCCCGAGUUGUAAUUUGCAGAGGAAGCUUUAGGCGCGGCACCUUCUGAGUCCCCUGGAACGGGGCGCCAUAGAGGGUGAGAGCCCCGUAUAGUUGGAUGCCUAGCCUGUGUAAAGCUCCUUCGACGAGUCGAGUAGUUUGGGAAUGCUGCUCAAAAUGGGAGGUAAAUUUCUUCUAAAGCUAAAUACCGGCCAGAGACCGAUAGCGCACAAGUAGAGUGAUCGAAAGAUGAAAAGCACUUUGAAAAGAGGGUUAAAUAGCACGUGAAAUUGUUGAAAGGGAAGCGCUUGUGACCAGACUUGCGCCGGGCGGAUCAUCCGGUGUUCUCACCGGUGCACUCCGCCCGGCUCAGGCCAGCAUCGGUUCUCGCGGGGGGAUAAAGGUCCUGGGAACGUAGCUCCUCCGGGAGUGUUAUAGCCCGGGGCGUAAUGCCCUCGCGGGGACCGAGGUUCGCGCAUCUGCAAGGAUGCUGGCGUAAUGGUCAUCAGCGACCCGUCUUGAAACACGGACCCCUGUGUGAAAUUGUAAUCCG